AGUUUUCUGUUGAGUCUAACGAAAAAUUUCGUUCAAUAUUUAUUUGAUUCUAAGGUGAUAAAAAAGCAAAAUGUGUUUGAGAAAUCGUUUUGAACUCGGUCUUGACGCCUUCGGCAUAAUAAUAGGCAAUGCCGUUAUAAUUACAAUCAUGUCUAUCGAGAAAACACUUGAAUUAUACCUCAAAAUACUUCUUGGUGGAUAUAGCUUUCUAAUUUUAGCUGCAAUAUUUUUAUUGCUUGGAGUAAUCUUGAAAAACCUCUUUCUUCUGUAUGCUUGGAUGGCUAUAUUGCUUCCUGGAGCUGUUCUAACUUUUAUCGUAACUGUGCUCCAGUUGGCCAAGGAAUGGGAUCUCAUAUACUUUUUGUUCGGUGUAGUGUGGCCAGUUGCCUUAUUGUAUACAUUAUAUUUAUCAGUGAUAUAUGCAUUACGAUUGAAAAGAUCAACUGAUCAUGACUGAAACACUCCAAUGCUAUUUAAUUUAAUUUGUAAAAUUGUCUGUGUCCUUAUCGAAACCAUUUUAAAAGCUAUAUAAAUUUGUCUUUAGAUUGAUAAAACAAA